GCAGCGGUGGUUCUGCGGUAGAACUUUCGCCUUCUGUGGGGGAGACCCUGGUUCAGUUCCUGGCCAAUGCA
rnacentral:tRNA from 1 species